rnacentral:rRNA from 1 species
UCAGGUGGCCGCAGAGAAUAGGCCCAAGCGACUGUUUACCAAAAACAUAGGUUUCUGCUAAGUCGCAAGACGAUGUAUAGGAGCUGACGCCUGCCCGGUGCUGGAAGGUUAAGGGGAUCUGUUAGAGUAAUCGAAGCAGUGAACUUAAGCCCCAGUAAACGGCGGCCGUAACUAUAACGGUCCUAAGGUAGCGAAAUUCCUUGUCGGGUAAGUUCCGACCCGCACGAAAGGCGUAACGAUUUGGGCACUGUCUC